AAUUCUACUAAACCUCCUCUAAAACCUUUUCAGCAUGUUUGGUUGGGGGAAUAGGAAUGCAAUGCAUUCCUCCCCAAUUCAGUGGCCCAUCCCUAUUCGAUUGUUUGGUUGGCUGUAACGAGCUAUUACAGCCCUAUUCCAUGCAGCCUUAUUCAAGGCAAAAUUGCUACUUACCAUUCGGCUCUCUACCCACGGAAUACCAUUCACCGUGUCUGAGUUUCAACUUUACCCUUCUCUCUCUUCUUCAUUCUCACGUCUGAAGCACUAUCCCCACAGGUCUGAGUUUCAAGUUUACCCUUCUCAUUUCUUUCUCACGUCUGAAACAUAUUUUCUUUUUUUUCAUUCUUCUUCCCAUUUCCUUCCAACCUUCUCCCUCUUUUUCAUGCUUCUAUCCUGACCAACCCUUUGACAAAUCCUAACAACCCUCAACAAGGCCUUCAAUUACGAAUCGUAUGAGGUGGAAACUUGAGAAGAGAAACAAUCGGAUUGGUUCGAAGUGAGCAGUCGUCCCUAAGAUUGGGAAAAUGAAGGAUGAUGAAGAGUUUGAAAUGUUAUUAGAUGAGAUCCCUCAUGCAACAUCUCACAAUCAUCAUCAUCAUCAACAUGAGAGGAAGAAUCAUGUGAAUGGGUCAUUACAUGGUUUGUAUGGUAAUGGUUUUAUGUAUGACGAUGACCCAUCAUCAAGUUACAUAAUCGUACAUGCGUUUCCCCUGUAAGCGGUUUCUCUUUACUACCAGAUGGUUCAUCUUCAAGCUUGUUUUCACACAAUGGGCAGUCUUUAUCUGACCAUGGAUCACCACCACCACCAUUAGAGGACUUUAAGCCACACUUGUUUGGUGAACUUGAUCUUUAUAGAAACUUUAGUAAACUGUAUAUUAGCAAUGAUCAAGAGAAUUUGGGUUCUAGUUUUAGAGAUUUCUCUCUUGAAUCCAAUGGGAUUCAACGUUUUGAUCAAUUCAAUGUUGAGAAACAUGGUGUUUGUGAUACAUUGAGGAAAGGGUUUUCUGAAUUUUUGCCUUUGAGUUUCAAUGGUGGGAUGAAUAUGGCAUUUUCUGGUUUGCCCCAUAAUUUAUUAGGUCCUCAAAUGUAUGCUUAUGAAUGUGUGUUACUUCAUUAAACGUUUGUAGCAUUUUCUGGAAUGAUAUUUGGUAGUGCAAUCUCACUAGGUAUUUCUUUUCCCAA